rnacentral:rRNA from 1 species
UACGUAGGUCGCGAGCGUUGUCCGGAUUUACUGGGCGUAAAGAGCGCGCAGGCGGCUGGUCAAGUCCGAUGUGAAAUCUCCCGGCUCAACUGGGAAACUGCAUCGGAAACUGAUCGGCUUGAAGAUGGGAGAGGGUAGUGGAAUUCCCGGUGUAGUGGUGAAAUGCGUAGAUAUCGGGAGGAACACCAGUGGCGAAGGCGACUACCUGGCCCAUUCUUGACGCUGAGGCGCGAAAGCUAGGGGAGCGAACGGG